AUAGUGCAGCUGCAGCUGCAGCUGCAGCUGCAGCUGCAGCUGCAGCUGCAGCUGCAGCUGCAGCUGCAGCUGCAGCUGCAGCUGCAGCUGCAGCUGCAGCUGCAGCUGCAGCUGCAGCUGCAGCUGCAGCUGCAGCUGCAGCUGCAGCUGCAGCUGCAGCUGCAGCUGCAGCUGCAGCUGCAGCUGCAGCUGCAGCUGCAGCUGCAGCUGCAGCUGCAGCUGCAGCUGCAGCUGCAGCUGCAGCUGCAGCUGCAG
rnacentral:sRNA from 1 species